rnacentral:rRNA from 1 species
GACGAACGCUGGCGGCGUGCUUAACACAUGCAAGUCGAACGAUGAAGCCGGAGCUUGCUCCGGUGGAUUAGUGGCGAACGGGUGAGUAACACGUGAGCAAUCUGCCCUUGACUCUGGGAUAACUGCGGGAAACUGUAGCUAAUACCGGAUACGACACCUUGGGGCAUCCCAGGGUGUGGAAAGAAUUUCGGUCAAGGAUGAGCUCGCGGCCUAUCAGCUAAUUGGUGAGGUAAUGGCUCACCAAGGCGACGACGGGUAGCCUGCCUGAGAGGGUGACCGGCCACACUGGAACUGAGACACGGUCCAGACUCCUACGGGAGGCAGCAGUGGGGAAUAUUGCACAAUGGGCGAAAGCCUGAUGCAGCAACGCCGCGUGAGGGAUGAAGGCCUUCGGGUUGUAAACCUCUUUUAGCAGGGAAGAAGCGAAAGUGACGGUACCUGCAGAAAAAGCACCGGCUAACUACGUGCCAGCCGCCGCAGUAA